CUUGAUCGAUCCCAGCCACAGCGGCCGGUCGGCGGGCCGGUCCUGCCCGUAGGUGGCGAGCAGCGCCUGCGCCUC
rnacentral:antisense_RNA from 1 species